AAAAAAAUCUAAAUCAAAAUACACACCAAAAAAAACAAAAAAAAAACAAAACAUGCAGGGAUUACUGGGGCCAAUGCUCUGAUCUGUGUGCGGUACAAUUCCAGGUGGCUCUGGAAGUUACUGCUUUACAUCCAACACAGUGAUUUCAAUCUGCCUGAACAUGUUACAAUACAGUUCCCAGAAUGUGAGGAAAGGCUGACCACCGUCUUAUAACGAACACUUGAUCAAAGCCCAUAACAACACAGGCUAAAAGGAGACACGGCAGCUGCAGAAUGGGCUUUGGGAAUCAUACACAAACUCAUGGUACACAGGCUGUGGCUACUAUCAGCCUCUGGUAGACUAGCGGAACUGUGGAAAUAUGGCAUUUUCGUAUCCCAUUAUUUCCUAUAGAGCAAGUUGAUCCAAUACAUUGUGCUAAGCAGAUUGCUAAUUAGAUAUCUGUAUCUGAAGCUUCUAAUAUAUUUAGCACAGUGCAGCUUCUUGGAGAAAGAAAAAGUCACAAAUCUAUAAAAAAAAAAAAAAAAAAUUGAUGUGAAUUGUGCCUAGUAGCUGAGAUUAUUAA